CUGUGGACUAAAUUGCAGACAUAUCUUGGAUGCUGGAUGGACCAUCUGGGUCAUAAACACCCAGAUAAAAUGACUUAUUUCUGAUGGGACGAUCUGAAAUUGAACUCCUGCAUUAGCAGCAUAAAUCUGACACAGAGACUGGACUGUGGUCUUAAUUUACAAUUACUACAAAAGCUGCAAAUUGGAAGAAGGGCACAUCACAGGGAGUGUGACCCCGUACUCCAGACUGCCAGAUGAAACUCGGCACUGCAUCUCAGGGCUAUUUCACUGCUGUUGACUUGUUUUGGCUUUACAGAUUAGUUACAUUUUGCAACAGUGAUCUGAUAGCCUGACUCUGCAUUCCUCAUCUUUCUUUUGGUACAUACACCUUCGUAAGGCAGUUCAUUUAUUAAAUGCAGCUGUCCCUAGAAAGGGAUUGAUCUUUUCUAGGCUUCUCCUUAGAUAAAUGAUCAGGACAAAGAAAGGAUGGGAGGUUUUAUAAACUCAUGAAAAAGAAUUUUUUUUAAUUCAAAAUUUCAUUCUGGACAAUUCUGAAUAUGAUGUCUUUCUGGUUCUUUUUAGUUAAAUCAUAUAAAAAUGAUUUUGUGAAAAUGCUUUUGUGUCUCUUGCAUGCAACCCCCCUUCCAAAUGAAAGUCUAGAUGAGAAUAGGGGAUGAUUGGAAAAAAAGUUAUUAUUGCUGAAAAGGACACACAUAGUUUGUAAUAAUGGAAGGAAAAAAAAUCCCAGGACCUGGGGUGUGGGGUGGGGGAAGGGCAUAAUGAUCUCUGUUUUUUCACAAUGUUCCUGCAAGCUUUGCUGUCUUCCUAAGGGAAAACUCACUGUGUGCCUUUUCAAGCUGUGAGCCCUUUGAAUUCUAACUUCUUGUGGAUCCUAGCUUCAAACUUGACCAGCACCGACCAUGAGAUGGCAGGGGGGGUGAUCCCAAUACCAGCACUUUCCUGCAAAAUACCUGCCAAUGUUCAGGUUGAACUGAUGUUAUAGACACAUAAAACUGUUUGUAACUGGCUGCCUCAGGUAGUCCCUCUGAAACCAUGCACUGAACUGCAUGAUUUGGACUAGAUUGAGAAUCUAGAGUGGGAGGCCCCACAGUGGAAGGCCAUGUUGGGAGCUCUGUUGACCUGUCCUGCCUGGUAUGUCUGCUUGGCAUACCCCAAGAGUUGAAAAUUCUUUGUUUCCAUGCAUACCACAUGCAUCCUCUAGAAUUGUGUUUCUUGUUUGUGUGCCCUUACCUAUCAUAAAAUUGACUCAGCCCUGGAAGGCUUUCAGGUCAGCUUUAAUUUAUUGGCUAUGCCUGAAUUGAUGCCUUGGUCCAAGUUAAAAAAAAUUAAAGCAAACUUAAGGAUGAAACCAUUUGGCUUUCUCAGAUCUGUAUAGUUAAUGGGAUUUGUUUUCACUGGUUAAAUAAAGGACCUCUAAAUUUAGGGCAUAAUUGAGAUCAAUAUUGCAGGUUGCUUUUAAGGGCCUACUGAUAAUAGUUUUGCUGUAAAGAUGCCUUGGCAAAAAGCCUUCUUAUUCUUAGAAAGUCCUGCUUACAAGGUUGGCCUUUGGCUAGGUGUCUGAAAACUGUGAUUUGGAAGGGUUGCCACCAUUUGCAGGGCUGAGAAGAGUGACUCACUGUUCCUAAACUGUUUGUGCAACCAGUCUGGUUUAUGCUGUAUACCUGCUUUCCUCCUGGAGUCUGGAAUUUUGGUACAUGGGAGGCAGGGUGCCUACGUGACCAGCCCCUGAUAAAAACCUUGGGCACAGAGUCUCUAAUGAGCUUCCCUGCUAGACAACAUUUCACAGAUGUUGUCACAGCUGGUUGAUGUGGGAAAUAAGCAUGUCCUGUGUGACUGUACUGGGAGAAGACCCCUGGAAACUUGUGCAUGGUUUCUUCUAGACUUCGGCCCAUUGUGCCUUUUCCAUUUGCUGACUUUUGUUUUGUAUUCUUGCACUGUAAUAAAGCUUAGCUGUGAGUACAAC
rnacentral:lncRNA from 1 species